UAACCUACUAAAUAGCCAGGCCCGCUUUUGCGGGUCGCAGGCUUCUUAGAGGGACUAUCGGAUCACAAGUCGAUGGAAGUUUGAGGCAAUAACAGGUCUGUGAUGCCCUUAGAUGUUCUGGGCCGCACGCGCGCUACACUGACAGAGUCAACGAGUACAUCUCCCUUGGCCGGAAGGCCCGGGUAAUCUUGUUAAACUCAUGUCGUGCUGGGGAUAGAGCAUUGCAAUUAUCGCUCUUCAACGAGGAAUUCCUAGUAAGCGCAAGUCAUCAGCUUGCGUUGAUUACGUCCCUGCCCUUUGUACACACCGCCCGUCGCU
rnacentral:rRNA from 1 species